AUACGGAGGGUGCAAGCGUUAUCCGGAUUUACUGGGUUUAAAGGGUACGCAGGCGGUAAUUUAAGUCAGUGGUGAAAGCCUACAGCUCAACUGUAGAACUGCCAUUGAAACUGAAUUACUUGAGUAUGGUAGAGGUAGGCGGAAUACAACAUGUAGCGGUGAAAUGCAUAGAUAUGUUGUAGAACACCGAUUGCGAAGGCAGCUUACUAAACCAUUACUGACGCUCAUGUACGAAAGCGUGGGGAGCGAACAGGAUUAGAAACCCCAGUAGUCC
rnacentral:rRNA from 1 species